GCCGGGCGUGGUGGCUCACGCCUGUAAUCCCAGCACUCCAGGAGGCCGAGGUGGGUGGAUCACCUGAGGUCAGGAGUUCAAGACCAGCCUGGCCAACAUAGUGAAACCCCAUCUCUA
rnacentral:sRNA from 1 species